UAAAGUAUAAAUAACAAUUGACAAUAUUACGUACAAAAGUUCUUUUCUAGAAACACCGAUGGUGUGACGUCACGAAGUAGAAGAACCCACUUAAUUUUGGUAUGUGACGUCACAGAUGAUCAAGCGGACCAUGGCGCGAAAAUGGAAUGAAGAAAAGUCUGCGAAUAAAGCUGCAGAAGAAAAGCGCAAGACGAAGAAAAAAGACGAAGACGCCGAUAAUGGAUACGCGGUUUGGGAUUUUUAAUUGAGUUGCGUGUGUGUCUGUCUGCACUGCUGUAUUAUUAUUAUGCUGGAUCUAAUGUUGCCAGCUAUUUUUAGUCAGUCACUACUAUAGUGCAUUUUGAAUGUCAUUGAAACAUUUUCGAAUGAAACCAUGGCAAAAUUCUAGCUGGAUCAGAUUUUUUUGCUAUGUUGGUACAAAAAUACUCUAGUAAUAUCAACACAACAUUCCUAUAAAAGUGAUAAAAGUUCAUUUAUAUACUCGUAGGUAAACCUUUUUACGCGACUAAACUUGAAUCAAACGUCAUGUAGCGCGAUUGGGGCGAUGGCCACGUCACAAUUUCGCUACGACGUCUAUACGGUGGGUCAUAGCAUUGUCAUGACCCUGCGUUCGGCGCGGUUACAUCAGUUUUGAUUUAAGUUUCUUAACGGUCGGGUUGUUGCUUGUACGUCACCGCCAGUGAUGCUACGCUGGAACUUCGGUCACUGUCAAUGCGGUUCGUGUAACAACCCACCGAAGUUUUGUAACGGUCGAUGCGGUGCGUAACACUCAAACGUUAUAAUAUUGUGUGAUGACACGACGUGUGUAUCGCGGUACAAACAUGGCGACUUACCCUUUGAUUAGAAACUGCGGACCUUGUGGUCAAACAUUUAA